ensembl:lncRNA
GUUCACUUGAGUUAACAUUCCAGUUAGCUUGUUUCUCAAUCAUCUUCUGAGUCAGAAUUAUUAUAGCUACACUUUUCUGUUUAACUGACUCAGCUGUACUGUAAGCAGAUAUAGGAGUUUCCUCUUAUUGUAUCAUAGAAACCAGUGAAUGAAAAAGUACUAAUAAUUUCACUAUUCUUUUCUUAGGCCGAUACAUCAUUGUUAUUGUAUGUCUGAGAUCAAAUUCCUGUUAAAAAGACAGAGCAGAUUUAAAGUCUGGAGAAAGAGAUGUUGAACAGAAAUGCAGACUUCUACAUGAAUGGCCCAGCCACAAAGGGAAGUUGCUGUGCGUGCAAAGUAUUUUUCUGAAGUUGAUGGUAGUCAUCACCUACCUCAGAAAAUCGUUUUACUGUAUGGAUUCCUUAAGGGAUUACUCCAUGAAAUAAAUGCGAUGUGGGGACCUGCUUACAGAGUGCGUUUGUGAUUGCUCGUGGUGAAAGCAAAACAGAACAGCUUUAUCCGUCUUGUAUUCUGAAGAAUUGCUUCCUCUGUGAGAUUGGAGCAGAGGAAUCCAGCAACAUGCAGCAGACUCCUGCGAGCAGUGUCCUGUGCUUGCUUAGGCAAUUAUACUCUGAAUUACUUCUUCGGCUCUCAUUCUGGCCUGUUUUCUGGUCCAGUCCACAGCUGUAUAUCACUCUCUGUUGCCAUCAGAAGAAAUGUUCCAGCUUUGUGUUGGUGUAACAGAAAACUGGAUCUGGCUCACUGAGUUAGCGUGCUACAGGAAAUGAUGCUUGAAUGCUGCUGCAUGCAUUAGGAGAACAAGAAUUCUUUCUCCAACAGAACACACUUUGUUCAGUGCCAGUAAUAUCACAGGGAGAUGCUGUCAGGAUGAGAAGUUAACACAUGGGAGCCAGCUGUAGCAACUAAAUGUCUCAAGGAAACUUGUUCUUACAUAAUGAAAUCCAUUCACAAGGAGUAUCACAGAAAGUUGGAGUGACCUGAUAAAACUCUGAGGAGAUUACCAGAUUCAUUCUUGGAAAGGCAAGAAAGUGAAGCUCAAAGCCUGACAGACUUUGAAAAUGAUGAAAAUGUGACUGUUAAUUCAAAAGUUUUAUUUCCAGAUGUUCAGAGCACUGAUUUCUUGAAGACAGCAUGUUGCAUAAUAUGUUGGAAAACCACCUGUAAGUAUUUGUAAAACAAACUAAGACCAAAUCAGAAAAACAGUUAUGUUUAGAAAUGUAGCAGGAUAUACCACGAAAAACUGCUAAAAUUACUGGGGCAGAAUUCUGGAAUUCUGGCUUUGCCAUGAGCUC